rnacentral:tRNA from 1 species
GUUAACGUAGCAAAACUAGGUAUUGCAAAAGAUCUAAGCCCUUUCUAUAGAGGUUCAAGUCCUCUCGYUAAUU